AUGGCGGCGGUGGCCCGCGCCUCCGGCUCACCCGCGAAGCGCGACGCGAAGGCCUCCUCCGCCUCCUCUUCCUUCCUCGCCUCCCCACGGGGCGGCGGUGACGGCUGCAAGGACGGCGUGCUGCGCUCGUCCCCUCCGCUCCACCAGAGGUACCCACUCCCUGUCCCCAUCCGCGCCCCGCUCGCGCUCGAGGACCCCCGAUCGCCAUCGGCCCUGGCCUCCUUCCGGAUCCUGCUCGCCAUCCUCGCCUGCCUCCUCCUCGGCGCGCUCGUGUCCGCCCCCUGCGUCUGGUCGCACGUCGUGAAUCCUUGA
rnacentral:rRNA from 1 species